CAGCGGCGGACGGGUGAGUAAUGCCUAGGAAUCUGCCUGGUAGUGGGGGACAACGUUUCGAAAGGAACGCUAAUACCGCAUACGUCCUACGGGAGAAAGUGGGGGAUCUUCGGACCUCACGCUAUCAGAUGAGCCUAGGUCGGAUUAGCUAGUUGGUGAGGUAAAGGCUCACCAAGGCGACGAUCCGUAACUGGUCUGAGAGGAUGAUCAGUCACACUGGAACUGAGACACGGUCCAGACUCCUACGGGAGGCAGCAGUGGGGAAUAUUGGACAAUGGGCGAAAGCCUGAUCCAGCCAUGCCGCGUGUGUGAAGAAGGUCUUCGGAUUGUAAAGCACUUUAAGUUGGGAGGAAGGGCAGUAAGUUAAUACCUUGCUGUUUUGACGUUACCAACAGAAUAAGCACCGGCUAACUUCGUGCCAGCAGCCGCGGUAAUACGAAGGGUGCAAGCGUUAAUCGGAAUUACUGGGCGUAAAGCGCGCGUAGGUGGUUCGUUAAGUUGGAUGUGAAAGCCCCGGGCUCAACCUGGGAACUGCAUCCAAAACUGGCGAGCUAGAGUAUGGCAGAGGGUGGUGGAAUUUCCUGUGUAGCGGUGAAAUGCGUAGAUAUAGGAAGGAACACCAGUGGCGAAGGCGACCACCUGGGCUAAUACU
rnacentral:rRNA from 2 species